rnacentral:rRNA from 1 species
CGGGAAACUGGGGAUAAUACUCUAUAGACUAGGAAUGCUGGAAUGCUUGGAAGUCGAAAGGUCCGCCGCCGUAGGAGGGGUCGGCGGCCGAUUAGGUUGUUGUUGGGGUAACGGCCCAACAAGCCUGUAAUCGGUACGGGUUGUGGGAGCAAGAGCCCGGAGAUGGAUUCUGAGACACGAAUCCAGGCCCUACGGGGCGCAGCAGGCGCGAAAACUUUACAAGGCGGGAAACCGUGAUCAGGGAACUCCGAGUGCCCGUAAAAUCGGGCUGUCCAUCAGUUUAAAUAACUGGUGAAGAAAGGGCCGGGCAAGACCGGUGCCAGCCGCCGCGGUAACA